CCGUGAUCGCACUCACGCGGCGGUUAUAGCCGGGUGCUUCUACAGUUCUGCUCCUGUGAAAGCCUAGAAGAGUAUUCGGUGUCCGCUCCCCAAACACCAGAGGUUGAAGCGCGCAGCUGAAGAUUGAGGAACUGCGUUUGUUCAUAGGGCGGCGGCACACGGCAAUCUAAGAAUGGAUGCGUACAGAAUCCCGCCUUCGAGCCCGAGCGCCCUGACGGAUUGACGACCUAUCAUACGAAUUCGGAAGAUCAAGAGGGAAUUGGUUUCCCUGCAGGAGGGGUCGUUGCCUUCUUUUUUGUAUCUCUAUUAUUAAAAAAAAAUCGAACGUCGUGAUGGUUCGACCUCCCACAUUCCUCGUACAAUUCUCACUUACCCGGCACGAUAAAACGAUUCCCACUUCCCCCAUGAUAAAAAGAAAAAAAAAACCACGUACAAAAAACAACCACGAUCAGGCACCCACGUCCCUCACCCCAUCUCCCGAUCCCAUCUGUCUACCGAGAAAAAUCCCUCGGCCGUCCAGCCCGAACUGCCGCGCCGGUGAAGGAGCCCACACCGAGGAGUCCCUCGAUCCAAUCCUCGCCCUCGCCAUCGCCGUCGACCCCGCCCCUCUUCCCUCCGCCGUUUAGCCCAAACCGUAGCGCCGGUGCAGGAGCCCAGGCCGCCCACGUGAAGGCAAUGGCAUAAGCCAUGUUAUCGUCUUAUCAAGGUCGAGGGGUCCCUUGCGCCAAUCCUCGCGCUCGCCCUCACCGCCAUCACCGGCGGCCCCGCCGCUCUUCCCUCCGCCUUCUAGCCCGAACCAUCCCGCGCUGGUGCAAGAGCCGAGGCCACCCACGUGAAGACAAUGCGUAAGUCACCUCAUUUUGGUCGAGCGGUCUGUCGAGCCAAACCUGGCCCUCGCCCUCGCCGGCGUCAGCGGCCCCGCCCGUCUCUAGGUGGUCAGUUACUCGAUCUCGGUCAUCCGACUCAUCUCGGGCGAGUAUGUCAUUGGUGCGGACGCCGUGUCGGACAACAACAGUGCAAGCUCAUCGCUAGCUCAUAUGAGUCUUUGGUCGGCACCCUCCUACUGCCGCUCUCUGUGUUGGUGCCGACACCACACUCCUCACUUUUCUUAGACAAAGGGAAAGACGAACGCCGGCGUCAGCAAGGUUGUCGCCCCCCCUCUCUCUUUAACUCUCUUAUUUUAUUUUUACAUCCUUGUCACAAUAUUGAUCUGUGUUGCUAUUGUUGUCUGAAUGAAGUGACCUGCUGUUGUUGUAAUAACAGAAGUGAGCUGCCGAUUUUUGAAUGAACUUGACUUGUUUGCAUAUUCUUGUAUGGGCAGAAGAAAUAUAGAAUUAACCUUGUGUACUAAUUGUUGUAUGGAUGUCGGUGGCCAUCACCUGUCAAAGGAGGGUCACGCCAGAUGUUGUGGAGGUGACGCACUCGGCCGGCGAGGAGCUCCGGGUCAAUGACUGUGGUGGCUGAUGAGCAGAGUCUACUUGUUGAACAGGUCAUCCACCGUCAUGCACAUUCUUUGCUUCGGAAGAACUUGGACUUAUUUGAUUUGGUAGUUGUGUUGGUGUCAAAUUAGCGACCGCACCAUUUUUUUGCCAGGUCUUUACUCCAAUGGAGUCACUGAGGUUGAAGUAGAAUAGGAAGAAAAAAGACAUCAUUGCAUAUUUGGGUUCAGUCACAAUGCUUCCAUAUGUUCUUGAUCCCCAGAUAUGACUUACUUCUAUAUGUACUUUUCUUGCUGGUGGAACAUAACUAGAACUAAUAUUUUGUGUGGUUUUACCAUGUUUUAAUUGUUGAAAAAAAUUUAGAAUUUGAUGCAUCAUUGAAUAUUUGGGUUCAGUGUAAUGCUUCCAUAUGUUCUUGAUCCACAGAUAUGACUUACUUCUAUAUGUACUUUUCUUGCUGGUGGAACAUAACUAGAACUAAUAUUUUGUGUGGUUUUACCAUGUUUUAAUUUUUGAAAAAAAUUAGAAUUUGAUUGUCCUUCGUGGGAUGCUCAUGUUGCAUUGUUCAGUGACUGCUUCAGGAUUACGGGAGGAAGUUGGAGUAAAUCCUUGUGUUUGGCUUCAAUUUUUGGGUUUGGAUAUCUACCCAACAUAUAAACUGACUGCUGUACAAUGGAAGUUCUGUAUUUGUGAGAUAAGUUUCUAUAAUGCAGAACUGCAAGAAUAAUCCUAGAACCAUCUUUAUAGUCUGAUGUUACUUAAUAAUAAAUAAUUAGUUACAUAUACCAGAGGAUUUAAAUGCUUAGCAUUUCAUGUCUUAGUUAGAAAUUGAUGUGUGAUUUCAAGGCUCAUAUUGGCUUUUCAUUAUCCUUCUUUUUCUCUGAAAGGCUAGAGAGAAAGUGUUAAAGGAAGCUUCACAGUUUUGUCAAUGAUCAAAAUUUUCUAGCUAAUUAUUAUUUACCCAUGUUUGCAUGAUGUUAUGUAAGUGAUUCUCUCUCUUUUUCUUUCUUUUCCACAUUUUAAAACUGCAGAUAUUGACUAUGAGAUGAAAUUGUCAUUGUUCAUAAUUUAAAUGUUUGACAAAAGGCCGGAGCGAAGAAUGCUAGCUUCUUAAUGCUACUUCACGGAUUUCCAUGUCGAUGUUGCCCCCUUUUGGACGGAGAUGGUUGUGUCAAAGGUGUCAAUGGCACAGGUUCUUCGCCAUAUCAGGCCUUUCAUGUGCCUACCUCAUGAAGCCAUUGAUCUGGUACUACAUAGAUUGAGGACGGGCUGAAGAAAAUGUGAGCCAUGGGAGGAGAGAUUUACUGGAGCAAGGUGAACGACCGUGCAGCGACCAGAUGUGAGACGCCGGGAAUGCAUGUUUUUCGUUCUUGAUGCCUUGGCUGUCGUACACAAAAGUGGAUGGGAGAUCUGCAAGUUAAAGAAAAUAUCAUGGUAUUCCUCUCAUGCACCUUGGUGUCACAUAAACCCUCAUAACCUCUGCAUCUCUGCCUUUACCGUUCGUCGCUUCUCUGUUCCUGACAAGUAUGGACUUCUCUUUCACUUCCUUGCUUGUGUAUAGAUGCUAUGAUGUAUUGUAAUAUGGAUUGGAUUUCAUAUACAUGUACUAUAUUUAUUUGAAGUGUUACACACAUGGCUCUUGGUCGUGUAACGACUCUUCUUCUAAUUGAUACGACAACAUUUCUUGUUCAUGGUGUAACUAUGAUCAUGCUUUAAGUAAUUUUUAUUACUGAUGUGAAUGCACUCAUGAUCUG